rnacentral:rRNA from 1 species
CCCGCAAGGGUCAGAUUUUGAAAGCGGCAAAUGGGUGAGUAACACGUGAGUAAUCUGCCUUCAAGCUCAGGAUAGCUUCGCGAAAGCGGGGGUAAUACUGAAUAAGCCCACGAAACUUAAGUUUUGUGGGAAAAGGCUUUCGUAAGAAAGUCACUUGUUGAUGAGCUCGCGCCUUAUCAGCUAGUUGGUGGGGUAAUGGCCUACCAAGGCUUUGACGGGUAGCUGGUCUGAGAGGAUGGUCAGCCACGCUGGGACUGAGACACUGCCCAGACUCCUACGGGAGGCUGCAGUCGAGGAUCUUUAGCAAUGGGCGAAAGCCUGACUAUGCGACGCCGCGUGAGGGAUGAAGUCCUUCGGGACGUAAACCUCUUUCGAUCGGGAAGAAUUUCUUCGUUGAGAAGAGUUGACGGUACCGAGAGAAGAAGCCACGGCUAACUCCGUGCCAGCAGCCGCGGUAAUACGGAGGUGGCAAGCGUUACUCGGAUUCAUUGGGUGUAAAGGGCAGGUAGGCGUUUUGACAAGUUUUAGGUGAAAUCCUUGAGCUCAACUCAAGAACUGCCUGAAAAACUGUCAGAAUUGAGUGUGAGAGAGGAGAACGGAAUUCCCGGUGUAAGGGUGAAAUCUGUAGAUAUCGGGAAGAACACCUGUGGCGUAAGCGGUUCUCUGGCUCGCAACCGACGCUGAACUGCGAAAGCUAGGGUAGCGAACAGAAUUAGAUACUCUGGUAGUCCUAGCCGUAAACGAUGAGCACUAGGUGAUGGCCCGCAAGGGUCAGUGCCGUAAGAUAACUCGUUAAGUGCUCCACCUGGGGACUACGGCCGCAAGGCUAAAACUCAAAGGAAUUGACGGGGGCCCGCACAAGCGGUGGAACAUGUGGUUCAAUUCGACGCUACGCGUAGAACCUCACCAGGGCUUGACAUGUAAGAAGUAGGAACCUGAAAGGGAGACGACCCGUUAAGUCGGGAACUUACACAGGUGCUGCAUGGCUGUCGUCAGCUCGUGUCGUGAGAUGUUGGGUUAAGUCCCGCAACGAGCGCAACCAUCAUCUUUAGUUGCCACUCUUGAAGCCGCAAGGCCGAAAGAAGCACUCUAGAGAGACUGCCUGGGAUAACCAGGAGGAAGGUGGAGAUGACGUCAAGUCCGUAUGGCCUUUAUGCCCUGGGCUACACACGUGUUACAAUGGAGUGUACAAUGCGUUGCCAAGUCGCGAGACGGAGCUAAUCGCAUAAAACAUUCCUCAGUUCAGAUUGGAGUCUGCAAUUCGACUUCAUGAAG